GCUUGUCUCAAAGAUUAAGCCAUGCAUGUCUAAGUACAAGCCUCAGUAAGGUGAAACCGCGAAUGGCUCAUUAAAUCACACCUAAUCUACUGGAAAGUUACUAGUUACUUGGAUAACUGAGGUAAUUCUUGAGCUAAUACAUGCGUCAAUGCCCGACUUUGGAAGGGCUGUGUUUAUUAGAUCCAAAACCAAUGCGGGGCAACCCGGUUACUGGUGAUUCAUAAUAACCUAUCGGACCGAAUGGCCUUGCGCCGUCGGUGCAUCAUUCAAAUUUCUGCCCUAUCAAUUUGUUGGUAGUAUAUAGGACUACCAAGAUGAUUACGGGUAACGGAGAAUUAGGGUUUGAUUCCGGAGAGGGAGCCUGAGAAACGGCUACCACAUCUAAGGAAGGCAGCAGG
rnacentral:rRNA from 1 species